rnacentral:rRNA from 1 species
GAUGAACGCUGGCGGCGUGCCUAAUACAUGCAAGUCGAGCGAACAGAUGAGGAGCUUGCUCCUCUGACGUUAGCGGCGGACGGGUGAGUAACACGUGGAUAACCUACCUAUAAGACUGGGAUAACUUCGGGAAACCGGAGCUAAUACCGGAUAAGAUAUUGAACCGCAUGGUUCAAUAGAGAAAGACGGCUUUGCGGUCACUUAUAGAUGGAUCCGCGCCGCAUUAGCUAGUUGGUAGGGUAACGGCUUACCAAGGCAACGAUGCGUAGCCGACCUGAGAGGGUGAUCGGCCACACUGGAACUGAGACACGGUCCAGACUCCUACGGGAGGCAGCAGUAGGGAAUCUUCCGCAAUGGGCGAAAGCUUGACGGAGCAACGCCGCGUGAGUGAUGAAGGUCUUCGGAUCGUAAAGCUCUGUUAUUAGGGAAGAACAAAUGUGUACGUAACUAUGCACGUCUUGACGGUACCUAAUCAGAAAGCCCCGGCUAACUACGUG